UACGGAGGGUGCAAGCGUUAUCCGGAUUUACUGGGUUUAAAGGGUGCGUAGGUGGGUAGGUAAGUCAGUGGUGAAAUCUUCAAGCUUAACUUGGAAACUGCCAUUGAUACUAGUUUAUCUUUGAAUACUUUGGAGGUAAGCGGAAUAUGUCAUGUAGCGGUGAAAUGCUUAGAUAUGACAUAGAACACCAAUUGCGAAGGCAGCUUACUACACAGUUAUUGACACUGAGGCACGAAAGCGUGGGGAUCAAACAGGAUUAGAUACC
rnacentral:rRNA from 1 species